UACGUAGGGGCGAGCGUUGUCCGGAUUUAUUGGGCGUAAAGAGCGUGUAGGCGGCCAGGUAGGUCUGCUGUGAAAACUCGAGGCUCAACCUCGAGACGUCGACAGAAACCGCUUGGCUAGAGUCCGGAAGAGGAGAGUGGAAUUCCAGGUGUAGCGGUGAAAUGCGUAGAUAUCUGGAGGAACACCGGUGGCGAAGGCGGCAUCCUGGACCGGUAUUGACGCUGAGGCGCGAAAGCUAGGGGAGCAAACGGG
rnacentral:rRNA from 1 species